rnacentral:rRNA from 1 species
AUAUCAAUAAGCGGAGGAAAAGAAACCAACAGGGAUUACCCUAGUAACGGCGAGUGAAGCGGUAACAGCUCAAAUUUGAAAUCUGACCUUCACGGGUCCGAGUUGUAAUUUGUAGAGGAUGUUUCGGAUAAGGCUUUGGUUUAAGUUUCUUGGAACAGAACGUCAUAGAGGGUGAGAGUCCCGUCUAGAACCGGUAGCCGCGUCCAUGUGAAACUCCUUCGACGAGUCGAGUUGUUUGGGAAUGCAGCUCAAAAUGGGUGGUAAAUUUCAUCUAAAGCUAAAUAUUGGCCAGAGACCGAUAGCGCACAAGUA